rfam:Streptobacillus moniliformis DSM 12112, complete genome.
GGGCCCUUCGUCUAGUGGUCAGGACAUUAGGUUUUCAUCCUAAAAACAGGAGUUCGAUUCUCCUAGGGCCUA